rnacentral:rRNA from 1 species
AUCCGGAGGGUGCGAGCGUUAAUCGGAAUUACUGGGCGUAAAGCGUACGUAGGCGGUUGGUUAAGUUAGAUGUGAAAGCCCCGGGCUUAACCUGGGAACUGCAUUUAAAACUGGCGAACUAGAGUUGAGUAGAGGGGAGUGGAAUUUCAGGUGUAGCGGUGAAAUGCGUAGAGGUCUGAAGGAACACCAGUGGCGAAGGCGACUCCCUGGACUCGAACUGACGCUGAGGUACGAAAGCGUGGGUAGCAAACGGGAUUAGAAACCCCAGUAGUCC